rnacentral:rRNA from 1 species
AUUGAACGCUGGCGGCAUGCCUAACACAUGCAAGUCGAGCGGAUGGAGUGAGCUUGCUCCUGGAUUCAGCGGCGGACGGGUGAGUAAUGCCUAUGAAUCUGCCUGGUCGUGGUGGAUAACGUCCUGAAACGGGCGCUAAUACCGCAUCCGUCCUGCGGGAGCAAGUGGGUGAUCUUCGGACCUCACGCUAUCAGGUGAGCCUAGGUCGGAUUCGCUAGUUGGUGGGGUGACGGCCUACCAAGGCGACGAUCCGUAACUGGUCUGAGAGGAUGAUCAGUCAAAAUGGAAGUGAGACACGGUCCAGAAGACUACGGGAGGCAGCAGUGGGGAAUAUUGGACAGUGGGAGAAAGAAUGAUACAGCCAGGCCGAGUGUGAGAAGAAGGUCUUCGGAUUGGAAAGAACUUUAAGGUGGGAGGAAGGGCAGUAAGUUAAUACCUUGCUGUUGUGACGGUACAAAGAGAAUAAGCACCGGCUAACUUCGUG